rnacentral:rRNA from 1 species
UCCUACGGGAGGCAGCAGUAGGGAAUCUUCCGCAAUGGACGAAAGUCUGACGGAGCAACGCCGCGUGAGUGAUGAAGGUUUUCGGAUCGUAAAGCUCUGUUGUUAGGGAAGAACAAGUACCGUUCGAAUAGGGCGGUACCUUGACGGUACCUAACCAGAAAGCCACGGCUAACUACGUGCCAGCAGCCGCGGUAAUACGUAGGUGGCAAGCGUUGUCCGGAAUUAUUGGGCGUAAAGGGCUCGCAGGCGGUUUCUUAAGUCUGAUGUGAAAGCCCCCGGCUCAACCGGGGAGGGUCAUUGGAAACUGGGGAACUUGAGUGCAGAAGAGGAGAGUGGAAUUCCACGUGUAGCGGUGAAAUGCGUAGAGAUGUGGAGGAACACCAGUGGCGAAGGCGACUCUCUGGUCUGUAACUGACGCUGAGGAGCGAAAGCGUGGGGAGCGAACAGGAUUAGAUACCCUGGUA